GUUUUCUAUUGCUGUGGACAAAUUACCACAAUCUUAGCGGUUUAGAACAAUGCUUUUCACGGGUCAGAGUCCAGGAACUGCUUAGUUGGAUGCUCUGCUCAAGGUCUCACAAGGCUUCAGUCAAGGAGUCAGCUGGGCUGCCAUCUUCUCAGAAGCUGGGGGUCCUCUUCCAAGCUUACAUGGUUGUUGGCAGAAUUCAUUUCCUUGCAGCUGUGGAAUUCAUGGCAGCUUUCUUCUUCAAGACAGCAGGAGAAGUCUCUUUUAGAGGGUUUACCUGAUUAGAUCAGGCCCACCCACGAUUUUGCCACCUAGUUAAAGGAUUGGGAAACCAUUUUGAAAACUCUGGACUGGAUGAUUUUCAAGGGCGGAGAAUCCAUGCUCUCAAGCACAGACCCUUGGGCACGUGGAGGGCUCUGGGCAUAGGGGCAGGAGACAAUUGCGUUAAUAACCUGUGCAGAGAGCCCGAGGGGAUCAGUGCUAACUUGACUGCGUUCCUUUGGCUCUGAUCCUGGCAGAGAACUCCUGUCCUUCUAAGCGGGGAGGUGAGCCUCUCGGCAUGCUGGGACACUUGUCUGGACAACUCCCAGGAGGAGGGAACAAUCUGGACAAACCCUGAAGCAGCCGGCUGUCGUGGAUUCUGCCUGACUCAUCAGCUCAAAGGAAUGCCCAGGAGGCAGGGUGAUGUGGGGAACAGGAAACAGGCCCAAGCCCAACACAGCCACCAGCUAUGUGACCUGCUCAGGACAGUUCUCCUUUCUGGGCCUCAGUUUCCAUCUCUGCUACAGGAAUGUCUAAGGACCUUCCCACUCAGAACCCUGAUGGCUCUGAGAGGAAACAGAAUUGCCUUUUCUUUCGGAGGCUGAGGCAGGAAGGGGACCAUCUCCAACAGGUGGCCUCAUUCUGCUGGGCCAGUGACCAAGUGUGUUCUAGAAAUCUUUAGCUGUGAGAAGCCAGACUGUGAACUCCCCAAGAGCAGGGAUGAGGGCCUCCCACCUUUGGGUUCCUGCCCAGGUGUGGAGCCUGGCACCUAAAUCUUUGUCUAACUGAACAAAGGGACUCUAAAAGGACUUUUCCUUUUAGCUCUGACAUCCCAGAUCCCACUGUGAAAGGCACCAUCUUGGUUCCUGGAAGGGACUGAUCGUGACCACCUCGGUCAGUAGGGCUGUGAACUCUGCUUUCCAAAGAGUUUGAAAGAAAUUUGAAUUCUUUCUAAUCAGAGGGAGUUGGGACCAUGGGAUGGUGCUGAAGCUGGGUGACAAGGGACAAGAGUGCUAGUUCCUUGGGUCUGUCUGAGACCUCAGGCAUCUGAAGGCAUUAUAGCACCUCAUCUCCUUCUAGAACCAUUCCCACCUCCUGUCUGGAUGGGGAGGUGUGGAAUCCAGGAGAGGAGGGAGCGGACUUGGAGCUGAAAUGUGAGGUGAAGAAAGAGAGGUGGGGAUGGGAGGAAGGAAAGGAGGGCGAGAGAGGGAGAGAAGCGAAGGAAAAAGAUUUAUUUUAACAAUAGAUUUUUUCCUCUGGGAAUUUUCAAAGGAAAAAAAAAAUCCCAAACCCAAAUAUUUUUUUCUGUUUGUCUUUUUUUUCCUAACAAGAAUUGGUGAGCUAGUGCAGAGCGAGCUGAAGAGGGGCACCCAUCAAUCCACUUUUGUAUCAGUAAGGAGACGUUUAAUAGAGUAACCGUCUAGGCACGUGGGAGUCAGGAGACAGGAGCCAGCCCAGACCCCUCAUUCUCUGCAUGUGUAAACCUCCCCAAAGCCCUUUGGCAGGUGUGGACCAUUACGAAGGACUGCCUCUUCCGUCUGCUGUUUCUUCCCCAGGGCGGGGGAACUCUCCUCAGGGAGCCCUCCGGGCCUCUCUCUGCCCAUAGUCCCAAAUCCCUGGGGGAGGAAGGAGUCUUCCCUUCACCCCUAAUUCACCCUGCUCUGUGCCUGGAGGCCACCAGAGGGAUUACCUUAAUGAGAUCCCUUAUCCUCUGG
ensembl:lncRNA